AAUUAGAGAUGUGAGCCCCGAUGCCAACUGUCUACAGGUUGAAGUUAUAAAGGUAAAAACUUGGUCCAGCAAAUCUUCCUCUCCUUUCACUCCAGGAUUCACUUUUCUUAGUGCCCAAGUAAUAUUUAUGAGGCUCUUGUUAUUUAGCUGUUGUAUUAUAUUUAUGUUAAAUACAUUUCUAACAAAUUCUACUGCAUUUACAUUUAUUAUUCAACAAGACAUCACAAUAUGAUAGCAGAUAAUGAUGAAUCUCCAGAUAAUUCUUACCGCUAAGUCUUCAGUUGUCUAAAGUCACACACACACACAUACACACAUACACAUACACACAUAUGCACACACACAGAGUCAGAGUUUGGAUUACCAAAUGAGAAAUAAUUCCUUAGUGUGUGCAGUACUUUUUGCUCUCAAAUGUUUCUUUUCUUCACACAUACUUAUUUGACCCAUUCAGCUAAAAGCAACAUGCAUCUUACUAAUUCUAUAAAUGUGUAUACUAGAGUUCUUACCUUUUUGAAAGAUUAAUUAAUACAGUCAUGGCUAAUUAUCUGUAACUGGUUAUAUGAGCAAGGCCAUUAUACACAGUGAACAUUAUAAAGAUAAUCAUUUUUCUUUAGCCUCUCAGCACAGGUCAGGAUAAAACCGUAAUAUCCUUCAUAAAUAGGAACACUGGCCAUCACUGGAGAGUAAAAUGACCACUGGUCCAGUCUGGUAAAUAUUCGUUCAUGGUUAUGCUCUUAAAAAGUGUUUAGGAAAUAAGAGAGAAAAAAAUAGGAAAAAAAUUACAAAAAAAAAAAAACCCAAACACAUAUAGACUUGAAGAGUUGCUCUCAGAUCAAAAUAUCCUGCAAUAAUCUGAAGUAGAAAAGUAUCAUUAUGACCUAAGAAGGUUCAUGAAAAUGUUUCUCAUCAUAGUAGCUCAGAAGGACUGAUUUAGAAUGUUGCCCAUGGAUUUCUGUUUGCUUGCCUGUGUAAAUAAAUACAUGUAUAGAUGGGGGAGAAAUUUGAUUUUAACACAUAGCCUUAGUGUUCAACUUUAAGUUACAUAAGAUGGGUCUGGGGACAUUAUCUUAAAUUUGGAUUUCUGAAAAAUAUGUAGGUCUGGCUCUGAAAUCUGAGUUUUAAUCCAUAUUCUAAAAAUUUGCAAACUAAAGCUUCCUCUUUUUUCUUCACAGAGGCUUAGGCACAUCAUGUUGAAGGGAGCAAUUUGGGAAGGAUAAAGCUGUUGAUGAAUGGCCAAAAAAGGACAAGUUAAGGGGAAAAAUUGGAACCAAAGAGCCCAGAUUGUGAGUUCCUUGAAAGAAGAAUCUGUGUCUUGUGCACCAUUGUUCUUCCUUACCUGUAACAGAAACCCUGGCACCAGGUAGGCAAGUCUUUGAUAAAUAUUUCUGGAUUGAUUAAGUUGUAUUUAUUCAUUAAAUGUAUGCCAAUUUCCUUUGUUUUUGCUACUAUCCUAGCAUUGCAUGUUACUUCCAUGAAGCUGAUCUAUGAAAGCAAAAUAUUAACAUCUUAUGGCAGGUAAUUUUUGCCUUGAUAGCCUGUGAUGAGUUACUGACUGCUUGUUAGAAAUGUCACUGCCUUGUUCCUGUUAGGCUUACAGCUGACAUGUUGAAAAAUUUAUUCAAUGUAUAAAAAAGCUCUACAAAGAUAUUCAUUGUAUCACUGUUUAUAAUUGGGAAUUGUUUGGAUAGUCGAAUGAGCUGUGUUACAUCCAAACUAUGAAACAUUAUGCAACAAUUACGAAGAAGAAGGUAGAUCUAUGUCUUAUAAAAUAAAUUGAUAUUCUACUUAAAAAAAAGCAAAUGGCUAAAAGAUACUUUCAGUACAAUACCAUAUUUAAAAACUGCAGUGUACUUUCUGUGGUUACCAUAGAGGUAUAGUUAUAACAGAGGCAUAUGGACAUAUGGAAAAUAACCAUAGAACUCAUAUUAAACUCACUUAUGUGAUCAGUGGCUACAUCUAGAAAGGUAGAGAGGGGACCAAGAAUAAGGCUUGGAGGUCAAAAGCGACUUCUUUGAAAUGUUUUUUUUUUUAUGGAUAAUGUUUUAGUUUUUUAAUAAAGAGUUCUUAGUUAUAAAAUUAAUCUUAAACAUGUUGAUACUUGAUACAUUUGAAAGAUAAAAAUAUAUAACCUAUGAACAAUUAUGUAAAAAUAUACCGUCCAUGUAUCAAUUUAUAUAAAGGUAGAAUGCUAAAAAUGAAAAUUUGGCCUAUAGUAAACAUCUCUAAAUCAAAACAUUUUCUUUCAUAAUAAAUAAAAGAGAAGGAAUUAGCUAUAUUCUAUUAGCUCAUAAUUGUGUGGAUAGUAGGAUGAAAUAAAAAUGACUACAUAAGUCAGAAACAUAAAAACAGCCAUUGAUUUAGAAUCUGUUGACAUGAAGGCCACCCCGGCUCCACCACAUCUUGAACUAGAUGAGUCAUAAACUCCAGAGUAUCCAUUAUGCUAACCUAUAAAGUCAAGGUGGAAACUAGAGUAGUGAUUCUCAAACCUACAAGUCAUGAUUCUCUUGGGGGAACACACACAAAAAUAUUAUAUUGAAGAAUAUGCUGUUAUAUGCUGCUUCAUAAUAAAUUACUGUGCAGAUAAAUGGUAAUAUGCAGCACAUUUGUUUGUUUCAUUUUGUGUUUUAAAGCUUUCUCUUCCAGCAGACUGAUGUGAAUGGAGGCAGAGAACUUGUUUUAGUCAAUGUAGUAUCCCUUGCACUUUUCAUACUAUGUAGCACAUUAUAGAUACUCAAUAACUUGUUUUUAAUGAAUAAAUGGCAAAAUAUCAUAGGAGAAAAUUUUUAAGAUGAUUCUGUUUAUUAAACUAUCUCCCAGUACAUGUAGAUAAUCCCACCAUUAUUUUAUUAUAGAAAAUCUACAGUCGUUCCAACUUCUAAAAUGCAAUUAAGAACUCCAGUUAUGAUAAUCUUUAAGGAUCAUUCUUCUCUAAGAUAAUAUGUCUCUACAGCUUUUACUGCCUUUGAAAAUCCUCUCUGUCACAUCUCCUGAAGAAAACAGUUUCUUGUCCAGAUGAAUUACAGUGAAAAAGGAAAAGCAUUUAUCUGAACAUUAAAAUCCCUUUCCAUUACAACCCUGAAUUCUUUAGAAUAAUUCUUGUUCAUUUGGGUAAUUUCCGAUUACCUUAAACCAGUAUACUUGUUAUUCUCAUAAAGCGGAUGUACAAUUCUACCUGGUGUAACAUGAACUCCGGAACCAGGUUGCUUGGGUUUGAAUCCUAAGUCUACCAGGUAUAAGCUCUAUAACCUUGAACAAGCCACUUAAUAUUUCCAUGUCUCAGGUUCCUGAUCUCCAAAUAAGUAAAAUAAAAAUAAUUAUAUCAAACCCUUAAUUUAAAGUUUAACUCAGUUAGUACAUGUGAAAUGCUAAGAACAUGGUUUGGCCGGUAGUAGCUGAGAAAAUGGACCUGUAGUAACUGCUAUGCAAAUAUUCUUUGAAAUAAAAACAAAACGAAAUAAAUAUGCUAAUCUUUUUACCAGAUUGCAUGACUAUUCAGUCUUAACAAAGUUGGCUAAGAUUAGGCCAACAUCAUCCAGAAAAAUGUCCUCAGUUAUAAACAGUAGGGAAAUCUUAGAAAGAAUGAUUGAAGCACACAAAGUAAACAACACAGGAAAAUUAGCGAUAUAUGUGUCUGCAGAAAAAUGAGAACCAAGGGUUCCUGAGGUAGAUGGUUAGGCAUUUCAUGUGUGUAAAAGAUUCCAAUUAUAAAUCUGGAAGACAAGGCACUGGUAGAGUACCUGACCCUAAUAAAUAAAUACUCAUUAAAAUUUUGCUUAAUUUAGUAUAAAUAAAUUUAAUUAAUUAUUCAGUUAACUGGUAAAUGAAAUAGUUGUUUGACUAUAAGCCAAGUCACUUGACAUGUCUAGGUUCUGUUUCCUCAACUGUUAAAUAAGGAAAAUUAUCUAGAUCAGCAUUUCCUUAAUUGUGUUCAACUCAAGACUGGGUUCUUAGAGUUGUUAAUCAGCUCUUGGAAACAAAUCCAUGGUUGAAUAAUUUUAGGAAAACCCAUAUGCUAUCUUUCUCUUGCAUUUACAAACAAACUGGUAUAGUAGACAUUUUAAGAUCUUUUAUUGUAAGGAAAUUUUAUUUAUCUGACAAUUUCCCAAACUUAAUUGACCAUUGACUCUUUUCCUCUGGUUUCUAGCCUAUUGGUAUUUCACAGAAUUACUGCUAUUCUGAACAAAAAUUGGAAAUAAUACUACUCAAUGUUUGGUGUGUGGCUCAGUGUCAGUCUGCAAAUUAUUUACCAGUCUAUAACAGAAUAAGUACAAAAACUAAGAGCAGGCAUUUAAAAACUUUUAUAGCAAUUUGACACAGUAAUUUUAUGUUUAUUGAAUCUAAUAAUGAAAAUCAGGGAUUGUAUUUUGUAGGUUUUCCCUUCAUUGCUUUUUUCCUUAUAAAU
rnacentral:lncRNA from 1 species